GUCCACGCCGUCAACGAUGAGUGCUAAGUGUUAGGGGGUUUCCGCCCCUUAGUGCUGCAGCUAACGCAUUAAGCACUCCGCCUGGGGAGUACGGUCGCAAGACUGAAACUCAAAGGAAUUGACGGGGGCCCGCACAAGCGGUGGAGCAUGUGGUUUAAUUCGAAGCAACGCGAAGAACCUUACCAGGUCUUGACAUCCUCUGACAAUCCUAGAGAUAGGACGUCCCCUUCGGGGGCAGAGUGAUAGGUGGUGCAUGGUUGUCGUCAGCUCGUGUCGUGAGAUGUUGGGUUAAGUCCCGCAACGAGCGCAACCCUUGAUCUUAGUUGCCAGCAUUCAGUUGGGCACUCUACGGUGACUGCCGGUGACAAACCGGAGGAAGGUGGGGAUGACGUCAAAUCAUCAUGCCCCUUAUGACCUGGGCUACACACGUGCUACAAUGGACAGAACAAAGGGCAGCGAAACCGCGAGGUUAAGCCAAUCCCACAAAUCUGUUCUCAGG
rnacentral:rRNA from 1 species